AUGCCAAACCGUCAAGCCAAAGCCUCCCUCAUCAUGCUUGUGACGUGGAUAAUUUGGAAUGAGCGAAAUGCAAAAGUGUUUAGGUUUAAAAGCGCUCCGCCAACUAUUUUGCUUAACACCAUCUUGACCAAUGCCAACCCUUGGGUCACCGCCGGUGCAAAAAAAUUAGGGUCUUUCAUUUCGCGAGAGAAAUAA
rnacentral:rRNA from 1 species